rnacentral:rRNA from 1 species
UACGGAGGGUGCAAGCGUUAUCCGGAUUCACUGGGUUUAAAAGGGUGCGUAGGCGGGCAGGUAAGUCCGUGGUGAAAUCUCUGAGCUUAACUCAGAAACUGCCAUGGAUACUAUUUGUCUUGAAUGUUGUGGAGGUAAGCGGAAUAUGUCAUGUAGCGGUGAAAUGCUUAGAGUAUGACAUAGAACACCAAUUGCGAAGGCAGCUGGCUACACGAAUAUUGACACUGAUGCACGAAAGCGUGGGGAUCAAACAGG